ensembl:lincRNA
GGAGGGCGCAGGGGCUCCCGACAGCGACCUCACCCGAGCCGCUGGGACUCCGGGACCUCCGGCCCUCGGAAGCUAGAGUCCCACGUUUGCGGUCUUGCGGUUUGGAGGCAAAACCAGAGAAAUGGACAAUGUAUGGUUUGCUGACAGAACUUGCACCAUUGCUAUGGGCAAGGAAGGCACCCAAGGCUAUGUACAUCUUGAUUCUUAGUCACAUUUGCAAUGAUGCUUUUCCCCAUCAGUGUACAUACUUUUGGUGAUAUAAUUACACCUCUUCAUUUUACUAAAGUCAAGAGUGACAUUCCUGAAGGGACCUGAUGAGACACUGUGACAGCUGUGGAUAAUAUAGCAGAAUGGUACCACUAUGACCUAAUUCAUUUCCUUAAUUUCAUUAACUGCAAUCAUGUGCUAUUAAGCACAUGUAUCUAACAACACAAGCAUAGAAUAAAUUGGAAGAAAAUGACUCAUAAUCUAAUUACUCUAACAGAAAUU